rnacentral:RNase_P_RNA from 1 species
CAGGGUAAACGGAUAAUCGCUCUGCCUUUUUGGUAGAGAGGAAAGUCCGGACUCCUGUUUUGCUUUUUGCAAAAUAAAAAAGGUAGUCGCUAAUAACGACCUGAAGUAAUUCAAGGGAAAGUACCACAGAGACUAUACUAACUAUUACAAAAUAAUAGUGAAAGGUGAAAAGUUAUGCAGUGUUUAAGUUGUGUUUGGAUUUUCCUGACAUAAUUUAAGCUAUGUGUAUUCUACGUUGGUGACAACGAUGGAUGGCAAACCCUACCUGGAGCAAGAGCAAACUAUCACGCAUUUUGCGUGGUAAUGAAAAGUGGCUCGCUUGAUCAUAUAAGCAAUUAUAUGGCUAGAUAGAUGAUUAUCGCCUUGAGGGGCUUGUUGUUAAUUAUGUUGACAAUAAACCCCUUAAGGUACAGAAUCCGGCUUAUAGUUUGCCUUGAAAU